rnacentral:tRNA from 1 species
GUGGCUGUAGCUCAGUUGGUUAGAGCGCCAGGUUGUGGUCCUGGAAGUCGGGGGUUCGAGUCCCCUCAGCCACCCCA